GGGUCAGUAGAUUGGUCGUGCCACUGGUAUGUACUGGUCUUACUGGCUCCUCCUUCCUGAUGAACCGUAAUGCCAUUAAUUUGGUGUUGCGGGGAGACUGGACUGUUACUUUGAAAAAAUUAGAGUGUUUAUGGCAGGCCGGAGUGCUUGAAUACAUUAGCAUGGAAUAAUGGAAUAGGA
rnacentral:rRNA from 1 species